UUAAUUUGCUGGGGGAGCCGAAAGGCUGAGAGAGUUGAACUCGACCCUUGGAACUUGAUACGGUUAAUACCGUCGUAGGGAAGCAAGAUAUAUUCGAU
rnacentral:ncRNA from 2 species